rnacentral:rRNA from 1 species
UACGAAGGGGGCUAGCGUUGCUCGGAAUUACUGGGCGUAAAGGGAGCGUAGGCGGACUGUUAAGUUAGAGGUGAAAGCCCAGGGCUCAACCUUGGAAUUGCCUUUGAUACUGGCAGUCUUGAGUACGGAAGAGGUAUGUGGAACUCCGGAGUGAUAGAGGUGAAAUUCGUAAGAUAUUCGGAAGAACACCAGUGGCGAAGGCGACUCGCUGGACUGAUACUGACGCUGGAGGUGA